ACCUACGGGAGGCAGCAGUGGGGAAUAUUGCCCAAUGGGGGAAACCCUGAUGCAGCGACGCCGCGUGAGUGAAGAAGUAUUUCGGUAUGUAAAGCUCUAUCAGCAGGGAAGAAGAGAGACGGCACCUGACUAAGAAGCCCCGGCUAACUACGUGCCAGCAGCCGCGGUAAUACGUAGGGGGCAAGCGUUAUCCGGAUUUACUGGGUGUAAAGGGAGCGUAGACGGAGAAGCAAGUCUGAAGUGAAAGCCCGUGGCUUAACCACGGGACUGCUUUGGAAACUGUUUGAC
rnacentral:rRNA from 1 species